UGGCCAUAGAAAUUUAACUCCAUCCGUCAACACGGCAGGGUUUUCGCGUUAAAAUAUUCGAGAUUCGACAUUGGAGCCAGAGAUCGUUUGUAGAAGCCCUCGUUUUCGUUCAGAAACCCUAGAAUACCGUAGUCUCCGCGAAUUAUAACUAUUGAGAGGUCUGCGAUCGGAGUUGAAGCAAGAGGAAGCGAGAAAGUUCCGGUCCUCCAUCCCACUCGAGCUCCCCCGCAUCAUGAAAAAGAGUAAAUCUGCGAAGGUCCAAUCUCAGCAGCAGAACGGUCACGUUCUUCCCUUCAAGUUCGCCAAGUUGCUAGAUCCGGAGGCUUCUUGGGACAAGGAUCAGUUGGGUGAUGUUCUACAUUGGAUCCGGCAAGUGUUGGGCCUUCUGUGCGGAUUGCUGUGGGGUGCGGUCCCUCUCAUCGGUGCAAAAUGGAUUCUUGUAUUCUUGGUUCUAUCUUCUGGUAUCAUCUAUGGAUACUAUGCACACAUUCUGAAGAUUGAUGAGGAAGAAUAUGGGGGCCAUGCAACUUUGCUUCAAGAAGGGCUCUUUGCAUCAUUUACCCUUUUUCUGCUUGCCUGGAUUUUGGUAUACAGCUUGGCACAUUUCUAAUGGGCUACUCUCUCGUGAUCAGAGAAUGAUUUCCCAGAUGGAUGUCCUUGUCUUUUUCCAUUUUGAGCAACACAUAUUUGGAGACUGGAGACAUCAAGUGAGUCCACAAUCCAAGUGUAGAAACAAAUAGUCUUAUUUACCUUGUCCUUGUACUUGGCUUUGCAUACUUACUGUUGUUCUGUGUUCCAUAAAAUGGCUGCCAGUGGCCAUAUUUGAAAGUAGUGGAAUAUGAUUUGAGAGGGGCUCGGCCUGUAAUUAUUCAGUUGAUCAGAAUAUUUGCAAACCACAAAGAUAAGUGCUUGGGAUUGACUAAUAAGUUCGGUAAAGGAGAAACGGGUGAGUAGUCUCUGGUUCCCCGAUGUGAAGGAAGAGCAGGAACUAACUUAUUUUUAUAUAUUUUUUGUUUUUAA